UGUUAAUGUCUCACAACAAUAUUAUAAUAUUCUCUCUAGAUGUGUUAGAUGUAUUCUUAGGUCCUUCAUUUUUGUGUUAUUGUAAAUGGUAUUGUCAGAAUCUUCAGAAGUAAUUAUUGGCCAGGUGCGGUGGUUCAUGUCUGUAAUCCUAGCACUUUGGGAGGCCAAGGUAGGCAGACACUUGAGCCAGGUGUUGGAGACCAGCCUGGGCAACAUGGCAAACCUCAUCUUUAUAAAAAAUACAAAAAUUAGCCAGUGGCACACGCCUGUAGCCCCAGCUACUCAGGAGGCUGAAGUAGGAGGAUCAAUUGAGCCCAGGAGGCAGAGGCUGCAGUAAGCCAAGAUCGCACCACUGCACUUCAGCCUGGGUGGCAGAGGGAAACCCUGUCUCAAAAAUAAAUAAAUAAAUAAAUAAAUAAAUAAAUAAAUAAAUAAAUGAAUGAUUAUUACCAGUCUCACAGCUGAGGCAGAAAUUUAAAACAAAUAAAUAAUAAGUACUGCAUUUAUUCACUCCAAGAAAAGUAAAAGCUAAGGCCCAGAAUGUGGCAAGGCAAGGGUUAAAAAGAAGAGAACAAGUUUUCCUCUGCCUAGCAAGCUUACUUCAAGGACAGUUAUAAGAUAACGCUGUCCAAAUAGCCAAGGUCAAAGGAAUAGGCUCCAGACACCCCUCCCUUCCAGAGCAAGGUUGGAGGAAGAAAAAGAGAAAGAUUCUUUUACUCUUACUCUUUCCCCAGGCCUCUUAAGCAUUAUUUACAAAUGUCUGUAUUUAGCCAGUUUUUGUUUUUCUUUCGAUGCAACUACAAGGUCACCAGCUAUGCAAGGUCACAAGUUAUGUUAUGCUAUAGAUUAUGUGACCUGUCACUGUAUGAUUAACUGCUUUUGUUUUGUGUCUGUAAGGCCGCUUAUAAAAACCCCACUCUGUCUUUGUUCAGUGCUCAGCUUUUUAGAUGCAAACCUGCUGAGCCGUGCGUACCUAAAAUAAACAACAAUCCUCCUGUUUUUCCAUAUUGGCCUCUCCUUUCCUCAGUUUACCACAACAUAGCCAUAAUAGUAUAAAAACUGAAAGACCCUAAGACACAUAUACAUUAAGCUUGGCAACGGAAAGCAGGAUGUCACACACACACAAAGCUAGUAAUGUGAAAAUCUGGUCUUGCAUAAGGUCUUUUAGGUACAGACUUCUUUGUUAAUGCACAUUGGCAGGAAAAUGGGAACGAAUAAAAUUGCUUGCUGUCCUUCUCCCUUUAUUCUCCACUUCUUGUUUUUUCUAAAUGUGGGGUCAAAACUUCCAUGAGGGUAAGAAGUUCAGUUUUCUGCCUUUCCCCUUCAUCUCCCUAUCACACAUGUAUACUACUCCUUAACACUUAGAGAAGAUAAAAAAAGAAUAAAUUGUGGAGAGGGAGCAUAUGUGAAAGUAAAAGAUUCCCAGACAUAAUACGGGAGUUAAUGGAGAAAGAAAAUCUCUAAGGAAGACUAGAAAUAAUUGGGUUAGGGAUUCUCGAGAAGUAAAUUAAAUUCCCCAAAUAUGGUAUUCUCUGAGAAGAUAAUUUUGAAGAAGCAAUGGCGUGAUAUCCAGUGAAACAGCAGUCCUCUGGAGCCUGGCUGUGACUUCAAGGCCCAGUUCUUCUGGAAGGGCAGAAAAAUACUUUGAAGAGGAGAAAUGGGCAUUUAUAUAGGUUUAUAAGUACCAUCUUUAUUUUAGAAAAUAAUCAUUUUCUACCUGGAAUUCUAGUUUAUUGUGACC
rnacentral:lncRNA from 1 species